AGUAAUCUUUUAGGAGCUAGCCGUCGAAGGUGGGACAAAUGAUUGGGGUGAAGUCGUAACAAGGUAGCCGUAUCGGAAGGUGCGGCUGGAUCACCUCCUUU
rnacentral:rRNA from 1 species